GAACCGGCGGGCGGGAGGCCUGACCCUUGGAGCAGAGGUACUGGAAGCAUGGCAUCCCUGCAGCUGCUCAGAGGUCCCUUCCUGUGUGUUCUGCUCUGGGCCUUUUGUGUUCCUGGUGCCAGGGCCCAGGAGCAUGGGGCUGGUGUCCACUAUGGCAGCGUGGGCCUGGACAAGAGCACAGUGCACGACCAAGAGCACAUUAUGGAACAUCUGGAAGGUGUCAUCAACCAGCCAGAGGCGGAGAUGUCCCCACAGGAACUACAGCUCCAUUAUUUCAAAAUGCAUGAUUACGAUGGCAACAGUUUGCUUGAUGGCUUAGAGCUCUCGACGGCCAUCACUCACGUGCACAAGGAG
rnacentral:lncRNA from 1 species